rnacentral:rRNA from 1 species
UACGUAGGGUGCAAGCGUUAAUCGGAAUUACUGGGCGUAAAGCGUGCGCAGGCGGUUUUGUAAGUCUGUCGUGAAAUCCCCGGGCUCAACCUGGGAAUGGCGAUGGUGACUGCAAGGCUAGAGUUUGGCAGAGGGGGGUAGAAUUCCACGUGUAGCAGUGAAAUGCGUAGAUAUGUGGAGGAACACCGAUGGCGAAGGCAGCCCCCCUGGGUCAAAACUGACGCUCAUGCACGAAAGCGUGGGGAGCAAACAGG